UACGUAGGUGGCAAGCGUUGUCCGGAUUUACUGGGCGUAAAGAGCGCGCAGGCGGUCGUUCAAGUCGCGUGUGAAAGCCCCCGGCUCAACUGGGGAGGGUCACGCGAUACUGAUCGACUCGAAGGCAGGAGAGGGUAGUGGAAUUCCCGGAUGUAGUGGUGAAAUGCGUAGAUAUCGGGAGGAACACCAGUGGCGAAGGCGACUACCUGGCCUGUUCUUGACGCUGAGGCGCGAAAGCUAGGGGAGCAAACGGGG
rnacentral:rRNA from 1 species